UACGUAGGUGGCAAGCGUUGUCCGGAUUUAUUGGGCGUAAAGCGCGCGCAGGCGGUCCUUUAAGUCUGAUGUGAAAUCUUGCGGCUCAACCGCAAGCGGUCAUUGGAAACUGGGGGACUUGAGUACAGAAGAGGAAAGCGGAAUUCCACGUGUAGCGGUGAAAUGCGUAGAGAUCGGGAGGAACAUCAGUUGCGAAGGCGGCUCUCUGGACCAGCACUGACACUGAGGCACGAAAGCGUGGGGAGCAAACAGG
rnacentral:rRNA from 1 species